UUGAGAGUUUGAUCCUGGCUCAGAACGAACGCUGGCGGCAGGCUUAACACAUGCAAGUCGAGCGCCCUGCUUGCAGGGAGCGGCAGACGGGUGAGUAACGCGUGGGAACAUACCUUUCGGUUCGGAAUAGCCCCGGGAAACUGGGUGUAAUACCGAAUACGUCCUUAGGGAGAAAGAUUUAUCGCCGAAAGAUUGGCCCGCGUUAGAUUAGAUAGUUGGUGAGGUAACGG
rnacentral:rRNA from 1 species